ACCACCGGGGAUGAACAACUUUUGUCACGUGACCGCAAAAGUCAACGCCGGUUGCAGAAACAGAUUGUAAUCUUGUACAUUAAGAAACAUGACGCUCGUGUGUGAAAUCUGUGGAAAGACAUUUAAAUCGAAGUGGGGGUUAAAGCUUCAUGAUAAGCGCCACAGAGGGACUGGACGAUUCGCCUGUUGUGGAAAAACAUUUUACACAAAACAGGCGUUCAACAGACACAGAUGCAGCAUUCAUGGUGUUGAAAAGCCGUUCCCCUGUGAACAAUGCGGCAAAAAGUUUUCAACCAAAGAUGACCUGAAUCGUCACGUCCGGAGGGAGGUUGCUGCAAAGCAAUUUACCUGCUCAAUUUGCAAUGCAACGCUCCGGGAGAAAAUUGACCUUCAGGCCCACCUUGCCACCCACAAUGGAGAGAAAAACUUUGCUUGUGAUAUGUGUGAAAAGAGGUACAGGCACCGCAGUAGUCUAUCAAAGCACAGAUCUGCAAAGCACCGGGCCUAGUCAUCUGUUGCAUGACGAUGAUAAGACCAAGAAUUAUUUUUAAUUCUUACCAAUGUGCCGUGGUUAUUUUCUUAAUUAUUGAAAAUACAGACUGUCAUACAAUAAUAUAUAGUAUUACGCGUGUUUUUGCGUCUUAAACAUUGUGUUUCAUAUCGUUUAUCUUGUGUUGUUUUGUUUGAUAUUCCUGUUUUUAAUAAGAUUAUUGUUGUAAUAUUUAUCAUUCUAAUUUAAAAUGAUUAUGAUAAUGGUUGAUCUCAUACAAAUUAUUGUGUUCAUUAUUGCUCAUCUGUGAUUACUGUUGAUCUCAGCCCAUGAAUUGUGAUUUAUAUUGAUUAUCUGUGAUUAUUGUUGAUCUUAUCAAAAUAAUUGUAAUUUAUGUUGAUUAUCUGUGAAUUUUUUAUCUUAACCUAUUAAUAGUGAUUUAUAUUAUCUGUGAUUAUUGUUGAUCUUAUCAAAAUCAUUGUGAUUUAUGUUGAUUAUCUGUGAUUAUUGUUGAUCUCAACCGAUUAAUUGUGAUUUAUAUAACCAGUGAUUAUUGUUGAUCUUUUCAAAAUCAUUGUAAUUUAUGUUGAUUAUCUGUGAUUAUUGUUGAUCUUUUCGAAAUCAUUGUAAUUUAUGUUGAUUAUCUGUGAUUAUUGUUGAUCUUUUCGAAAUCAUUGUAAUUAAUGUUGAUUAUCUGUGAUUAUUGUUGAUCUUUUCAAAAUCAUUGUAAUUUAUGUUGAUUAUCUGUGAUUAUUGUUGAUCUCACCAUAUCCGCUGGAAUAUACAUUUGAGCCGCGCUCUGUGAAAAGGGGGUUUAAUGCAUGUGCGUAAAGUGCAGUCCACAUAGGCUAAUCAGGGACGGCACUUUCCGCUUUUAUGAUAUGUUUUGUUAAAAGAAAGUCUCUUCUGAGCAAAAAUCGAGUUUAUCGGAAAGGUUUGUCCCUAAUUAGCCUGUACGGAAUGCACAGGCUAAUAUGUGACGACACCUUACGCACAUGCAUUAAACCCCCUUUUCACAGAGCGAGACUCAUUUGUAAUCUGCGAUUUUUGUUUAUCUAUUUCGAAUCAAUAUGAUUAAAAUAUAUUUUUGGUGAGUUAGCUUUUUGUCUCAUUGGAAUCAUUGUGCGAAUUGUCAACAAUUACAUGUAAAUCUGUAAUUCCUUCUCAAGUUGCACAUAGGCCAGUUUAAUGUUUUGCGUAUAAGCUAUUAUUGCGAUACGGGAUAUUCUUUGCAGCAAUAAAACAAUUAAUCUGCA